rnacentral:rRNA from 1 species
AUUGAACGCUGGCGGCAGGCCUAACACAUGCAAGUCGAACGAGUGGCGGACGGGUGAGUACUGUCUGGGAAACUGCCUGAUGGAGGGGGAUAACUACUGGAAACGGUAGCUAAUACCGCAUACCAUCGGAUGUGCCCAGAGGGGAUUAGCUAGUAGGUGGGGUAAAGGCUCAACGAGGCGACGAUCCGUAACUGGUCUGAGAGGAUGAUCAGGAACACUGGAACUGAGAAACGGUCCAGACUCCUACGGGAGGCAGCAGUGGGGAAUAUUGGACAAUGGGCGAAAGCCUGAUCCAGCCAUGCCGCGUGUGUGAAGAAGGUCUUCGGAUUGUAAAGCACUUUAAGUUGGGAGGCGUUACCAACAGAAUAAGCACCGGCUAACUUCGUGCCAGCCGCCGCGGUAAUUC